UACGUAGGGUGCAAGCGUUGUCCGGAAUUAUUGGGCGUAAAGAGCUCGUAGGCGGUUCGUCGCGUCGGCGUGUGAAACCUGAAGCUCGAACCUCAGGCCUCGCAGUGAUACGGGCGGACUUGAGUACUGCAGGGGAGACUGGAAUUCCUGGUGAGCGGUGAAUGCGCAGAUAUCAGGAGGAACACCGGUGCGAAGGCGGGAUCUCGUG
rnacentral:rRNA from 1 species